rnacentral:rRNA from 1 species
UACGUAGGGUGCAAGCGUUAAUCGGAAUUACUGGGCGUAAAGCGUGCGCAGGCGGUGAUGUAAGACAGAUGUGAAAUCCCCCGGGCUCAACCUGGGAACUGCAUUUGUGACUGCAUUGCUGGAGUGCGGCAGAGGGGGGAUGGAAUUCCGCGUGUAGCAGUGAAAUGCGUAGAUAUGCGGAGGAACACCGAUGGCGAAGGCAAUCCCCUGGGCCUGCACUGACGCUCAUGCACGAAAGCGUGGGGAGCAAACAGG